rnacentral:rRNA from 1 species
UACGGAGUGUGCAAGCGUUACUCGGAAUCACUGGGCAUAAAGGGCGCGUAGGCGGUUCGUUAAGUCCUGUGUGAAAUCCCCCCGGCUCAACUGGGGAACUGCACAGGAAACUAGCGGGCUUGAGUUCGGGAGAGGGAAGCGGAAUUCCGGGUGUAGCGGUGAAAUGCGUAGAUAUCGGAAGGAACGCCAGCAGCGAAAGCGGCACACUGGGCCUUUUCUGACGCUGAGGCACGAAAGCCAGGGGAGCGAACGGG